rnacentral:rRNA from 1 species
GACGAAUGCUGGCGGCGUGCCUAAUACAUGCAAGUCGAGCGGUAACAGGACUUCACCGUUUCCUUGACACACCUAGCGCAUUAUCGUAGAUGGUGAGACUUCGAGGGAACAGUGAAGUUGCUGACGAGCGGCGGACGGCUGAGUAACGCGUGGGAACGGACCCCAAACUGAGGGAUAACUACUCGAAAGAGUGGCUAAUACCGCAUGUGAUCUUCGGAUUAAAGGAUUUAUCCGGUUUGGGACUGGCCUGCGUACGAUUAGAUAGUUGGUAGGGUAAUGGCCUACCAAGUCAACGAUCGUUAGAUGGUUUGAGAGGAUGAUCAUCCAGACUGGGACUGAGACACGGCCCAGACUCCUACGGGAGGCAGCAGUGAGGAAUAUUGGUCAAUGGCCGGAAGGCUGAACCAGCCAAGUAGCGUGAAGGAUGAAGGUUCUAUGGAUUGUAAACUUCUUUGUCUGAGGGUAAAAAGCGGACGUGUCCGUUCUUGC